CCUACGGGCGGCAGCAGUGGGGAAUAUUGCGCAAUGGGCGAAAGCCUGACGCCGCGACGCCGCGUGAGGGAUGAAGGUCUUCGGAUCGUAAACCUCUGUCAGCAGGGAAGAACGGUCACUGUGCUAAUCAGCAGUGAAUUGACGGUACCUGCAAAGGAAGCACCGGCUAACUCCGUGCCAGCAGCCGCGGUAAUACGGAGGGUGCGAGCGUUAAUCGGAAUUACUGGGCGUAAAGCGCUCGUAGGCGGUAUGUCAAGUCAAGGGUGAAAGCCCCGCGCUCAACGUGGGAACUGCCUUUGAAACGGGCAAACUGGAGUGUGUGAGAGGAUAGUGGAAGUCCAGGUGUAGGAGUGAAAUCCGUAGAUAUCUGGAGGAACAUCAGUGGCGAAGGCGACUAUCUGGCACAUAACUGACGCUGAGGAGCGACAGCGUGGGUAGCAAACAGGAUUAGAUACCCGAGUAGUC
rnacentral:rRNA from 1 species